rnacentral:lncRNA from 1 species
GCGGCUGUUCGUAACUUCCGUUAUGGACGGCCCAAUAUGGCAGAUGACCGUACCGAUUAUAUAUUAUAUUUCCUAAAUACUUUCGAAUAAAAGCAUUACUGGUAGAGAAAAUUUGGUAUUUGUCUGUGAAAUAUGUAGGUCAACACAAAUAUCAAGCCUUUUAAAGAUAGAAUGGCUAAAAAAUGGUUUUAUACGACGUUAAAAAUA